rnacentral:rRNA from 1 species
GGCGAGUGAAGCGGCAACAGCUCAAAUUUGAAAUCUGGCCCUAGGCCCGAGUUGUAAUUUGCAGAGGAUGCUUUUGGUGCGGUGCCUUCCAAGUUCCCUAGAACGGGACGCCAGAGAGGGUGAGAGCCCCGUACAGUUGGACACCAAGCCUUUGUAAAGCUCCUUCGACGAGUCGAGUAGUUUGGGAAUGCUGCUCAAAAUGGGAGGUAUAUUUCUUCUAAAGCUAAAUACCGGCCAGAGACCGAUAGCGCACAAGUAGAGUGAUCGAAAGAUGAAAAGCACUUUGAAAAGAGGGUUAAACAGCACGUGAAAUUGUUAAAAGGGAAGCGCUUGUGACCAGACUUGCGUCCGGUGAAUCACCCAGCUCUCGCGGCUGGGGCACUUCGCCGGCUCAGGCCAGCAUCAGCUCGCUGUCGGGGACAAAAGCUUCAGGAACGUAGCUCUCUUCGGGGAGUGUUAUAGCCUGUUGCAUAAUACCCUUCGGCGGGCUGAGGUACGCGCUCCGCAAGGAUGCUGGCAUAAUGGUCAUCAGCGACCCGUCUUGAAACACGGACCAAGGAGUCAACCUUAUGUGCGAGUGUUCGGGUGUCAAACCCCUACGCGUAAUGAAAGUGAACGCAGGUGAGAGCUUCGGCGCAUCAUCGACCGAUCCUGAUGUUCUCGGAUGGAUUUGAGUAAGAGCAUAUAGGGUUGGACCCGAAAGAAGGUGAACUAUGCGUGUAUAGGGUGAAGCCAGAGGAAACUCUGG